rnacentral:tRNA from 1 species
UCCCGCAUAGCUCAGUUGGCAGAGCAAUCGACUGUUAAUCGAUAGGUCACUGGUUCGAGCCCAGUUGCGGGAGCCA